rnacentral:rRNA from 1 species
GAUGAACGCUGGCGGCGUGCCUAAUACAUGCAAGUCGAGCGAACGGACGAGAAGCUUGCUUUUCUGAUGUUAGCGGCGGACGGGUGAGUAACACGUGGAUAACCUACCUAUAAGACUGGGAUAACUUCGGGAAACCGGAGCCAAUACCGGAUAAUAUUUUGAACCGCAUGGUUCAAAAGUGAAAGACGGUCUUGCUGUCACUUAUAGAUGGAUCCGCGCUGCAUUAGCUAGUUGGUAAGGUAACGGCUUACCAAGGCAACGAUGCAUAGCCGACCUGAGAGGGUGAUCGGCCACACUGGAACUGAGACACGGUCCAGACUCCUACGGGAGGCAGCAGUAGGGAAUCUUCCGCAAUGGGCGAAAGCCUGACGGAGCAACGCCGCGUGAGUGAUGAAGGUCUUCGGAUCGUAAAACUCUGUUAUUAGGGAAGAACAUAUGUGUAAGUAACUGUGCACAUCUUGACGGUACCUAAUCAGAAAGCCACGGCUAACUACGUG